CAGAUUACACGAGUGAUUCACAACAUUCUCGUAACUGUAACAGAAAACUGAUUAGCAUAUCACUACUAGCUAGCCCUAGUUUUUUUUUUCCCGGGGAUUGAAGAUGAAAAUUCCAGUUUAUACUAGAAAGAGCAUCUAAUCUAAGAUGAUUGAUUCAUUUGACAAGAUCAAUUCUAACUUCGUUGUUCUUCAAUUUUUCCAAUUCGAAUUAGUAGUAUACCAGCAGAGUAUUGUGAAUUCGAAAACGCCCAUGAAGUCUGCUGUCAUCUUUAAAGAUGGGAAUGAAGUCGACAAUGUAGCAGAGAAGCUUAACGGGUUAAGAUCGCUUCAGGUACUGCUAAUGAUGGAGAUGUUCUUCCAACUUCUAAAGAGGGAAGUUCAACAUGAAAAAAAGAAGUAAAGAAACGUCUUCCUGAUGCAGUGGUUAAGAAGAAUGUAACUAUGGACUCAUUGGAAUCUCCCACCAACAAGCCCUGGCGCAAGUUACAGCUGAAGCUUCAGAGGCGCAUACCUGAGCUGAACAUCCAUUUUCCGCAGCUCCUUCCGCGGUCUCCUCCACAACAGAUCUCAAUUUCCAAAUCAGACCAGAGAAACAAACACAGUAGUUACGUUGGAGGUUUCUCAUUAAAAGCGUGCUUAAUGUAUACUACUUGUUUUCCAUAUAUGCUGCCAAAUAGUGACAGUUGAAUUCAGAUCUUGUUUGGGAGUACUAGAGUUAUACAUUGAAAUGCAGGGAAGGCAAGUUAUCUCUGCGAUGCAAUUUGCGGUAGAAGUUCAUCCAAUAUGCAUCAAAUUGUGUUCCAUGACUUACAAAGUGAUAGUAAAGCUGAACAUAACUUACAA